rnacentral:rRNA from 1 species
AAAGAAGCAUCUUCUUAUUUUUAAAAGACCUAGCAAUAGUGUAUGCUUAGGGAAGAGCUUGCGUCACAUUAGUUAGUUGGUGGGGUAAUGGCCUACCAAGACGAUGAUGUGUAGCCGGGCUGAGAGGUCGAACGGCCACAUUGGGACUGAGACACGGCCCAAACUCCUACGGGAGGCAGCAGUAAGGAAUUUUCGGCAAUGGAGGAAACUCUGACCGAGCAAUGCCGCGUGAACGAUGAAGUAUUUCGGUACGUAAAGUUCUUUUAUUAGGGAAGAAAAGAUGGUGGAAAAACCAUUAUGACGGUACCUAAUGAAUAAGCCCCGGCUAACUAUGUGCCAGCAGCCGCGGUAAUACAUAGGGGGCAAGCGUUAUCCGGAAUUAUUGGGCGUAAAGGGUGCGUAGGCGGUUAAAUAAGUUUAUGGUCUAAGUGCAACGCUCAACGUUGUGAUGCUAUAAAAACUGUUUAGCUAGAGUUGGAUAGAGGCAAGUGGAAUUCCGUGUGUAGUGGUAAAAUGCGUAAAUAUACGGAGGAACACCAGAAGCGAAGGCGGCUUGCUGGGUCUC